GACGAACGCUGGCGGCGUGCCUAAUACAUGCAUGUUGAGCGCUGAAGGUUGGUACUUGUACCGACUGGAUGAGCAGCGAACGGGUGAGUAACGCGUGGGGAAUCUGCCUUUGAGCGGGGGACAACAUUUGGAAACGAAUGCUAAUACCGCAUAAAAACUUUAAACACAAGUUUUAAGUUUGAAAGAUGCAAUUGCAUCACUCAAAGAUGAUCCCGCGUUGUAUUAGCUAGUUGGUGAGGUAAAGGCUCACCAAGGCGAUGAUACAUAGCCGACCUGAGAGGGUGAUCGGCCACAUUGGGACUGAGACACGGCCCAAACUCCUACGGGAGGCAGCAGUAGGGAAUCUUCGGCAAUGGACGAAAGUCUGACCGAGCAACGCCGCGUGAGUGAAGAAGGUUUUCGGAUCGUAAAACUCUGUUGGUAGAGAAGAACGUUGGUGAGAGUGGAAAGCUCAUCAAGUGACGGUAACUACCCAGAAAGGGACGGCUAACUACGUG
rnacentral:rRNA from 1 species